UGCAAGUCUCCGCACCCCUGUGAAAACGCCCUUAACAUCCUUCUGGAGCAAGGAGCCGGUAUCAGGCACACUUACAUGCCCAAGACACCUAGCUAUGCCACACCCACAAGGGACUUCAGCAGUGAUUAACAUUAAACAUGAGCGACAGCUCGAUUUAGUUAAAGUGUAGAGAGCCGGCAAAUCUGGUGCCAGCCGCCGCGGUUACACCAAGGGGCUCAAAUUGAUUUUAUUCGGCGUAAAGCGUGAUUAAAGUUAAUUAAGAAUAGAGCUAAACUAAAAUUAAGCCGUAGCACGCUUGUUUACAGGAAAACCAAAAACGAAAGUUACUCUAACAGCAACAACUUGAACUCACGACAACUAGGGUACAAACUGGGAUUAGAUACCCCACUAUGCCUAGUCGUAAACUUUAAAUUACACCUUCAUCGCCCGGGAACUACGAGCAAUGCUUAAAACCCAAAGGACUUGACGGUACCCCACAUCCACCUAGAGGAGCCUGUCCUAUAAUCGAUAAUCCCCGUUUAACCUCACCAUUUUUAGCUAAUCAGCCUGUAUACCUCCGUCGUCAGCUUACCACGUGAGCGCACUUUAGUAAGCCUAAUGUUUUUUCAUCAACACGUCAGGUCAAGGUGCAGCAGAUAAAAUGGGAAGAGAUGGGCUACACUUUCUAACUUAGAACAUACGAAAGAUCACUUAUGAAACCUGGUCGGAAGGAGGAUUUAGUAGUAAAAAGAAAUAAGAGAGUUCUUUUUAACCUGGAACUGGGGUGUGU
rnacentral:rRNA from 1 species